GCAUAUCAAUAAGCGGAGGAAAAGAAACCAACAGGGAUUGCCUCAGUUAACGGCGAAGUGAAGCGGCAACAGCUCAAAUUUGAAAUCUGGCCGCAAGGUCCGAGUUGUAAUUUGUAGAGGAUGCUUUUGGCGAGGUGCCUUCCGAGUUCCCUGGAACGGGACGCCAUAGAGGGUGAGAGCCCCGUACGGUAGGACCACCAAGCCUCUGUAAAGCUCCUUCGACGAGUCGAGUAGUUUGGGAAUGCUGCUCUAAAUGGGAGGUGUACGUCUUCUAAAGCUAAAUACCGGCCAGAGACCGAUAGCGCACAAGUAGAGUGAUCGAAAGAUGAAAAGCACUUUGAAAAGAGGGUUAAAAAGUACGUGAAAUUGUUGAAAGGGAAGCAUUCAUGACCAGACUUGGGCUUGGUUGAACAUCCGGCGUUCUCGCCGGUGCACUCUGCCAGUCCAGGCCAGCAUCAGUUUGCCCCGGGGGAUAAAGGCGGCGGGAAUGUGGCUCCCUUCGGGGAGUGUUAUAGCCCGUCGUGUAAUGCCCUGGGGCGGACUGAGGAACGCGCUUCGGCACGGAUGCUGGCGUAAUGGUCAUCAAUGACCCGUCUUGAAACACGGACCAAGGAGUCGUCUUCGUAUGCGAGUGUUCGGGUGUCAAACCCCUACGCGUAAUGAAAGUGAACGUAGGUGAGAGCUUCGGCGCAUCACCGACCGAUCCUGAUGUUCUCGGAUGGAUUUGAGUAAGAGCAUACGGGGCCGGACCCGAAAGAAGGUGAACUAUGCCUGUAUAGGGUGAAGCCAGAGGAAACUCUGGUGGAGGCUCGCAGCGGUUCUGACGUGCAAAUCGAUCGUCAAAUAUGGGCAUGGGGGGCGAAAGACUAAUCGAACCUUCUAGUAGCUGGUUUCCGCGA
rnacentral:rRNA from 1 species